ACUCCCCUGGGAUCCACUGGUUUCAGCCAAUAGACAGUGUCUUGCCAGCCAAGCGAUCUUAGAAGGCCAAGGAAGUAACAAGUCAGCAUUCUUUCCCUUUCCGCUCUGUUGUGGUUAGGUGCUGGACAGCAGUAUUUGAGGCGGUUCUUUCUAGGACAGACGUCUUUGGGGCCACCCAGGGCCCCGCUGCCUUUUGGCCCAUCCCCCAGCUCUGUGCUCAACAACCACAGGCCAUCAGCCUGGACCGAGAUGGCAGGCUGGGGGUGUGCAUUUAUCAUUCCAGGUUCUAGCGAGUUUCUUAUUCGCCACUCAACUAUCCCUCUCUUCAAGCAAGAGGGCAUCUAAAGGAAGUCAGAGGAGUCUGCCUGAAGGUAAAGAGAAAAAUGGAACUCCAAGAACACAACGAGCUGGGGGAAAAGCACUGGAUCUGACUUCUUUAUCAUCACACCUGUUGCUAACAUUUGUACCGAAAGGAGACAAACUCUCUGAGGGCAGAGACUGAGGAGUUUGAUGGUUUCAGCUUCACCAGAGUUCCUGCUAUUUCUGGAACAGUCAAGACUUUCCAGGCCUUUAGGCAUUUGCACAUGCUGUGCUCUCGCGUUGGAGUGCCAGAGUGCCACCCGUUGCCUUUCUCCAGCUGGAUGGGUUCUCUACCUCUACUCCCUUAUCUCCACCCAGCAACUGCUGCUGCCUCUGCUGAUGGUGGGAGCAGGAGAGCGCUACUGCACCCUGUGUGCUGAUUUCCAGAGAGGGGCCCUGGUUGCACUUGAGGAUCUGCAUUUGCCUGGCAAGUAUCCCCAUGCCCAAAGGAGCAUGAAGUUAAACAGCAAAUAAAAAAUCGCCAUGGCAGGUUGAAAGAGGGAGACUAUGAAAGAAGGGAAAAAGCUGUUAUUCUGCUUUUGAAACAAAUGAUCCCACAAUUUCAUUUUUCACUGGGCCCUGCAAUUUACACAGCUGGCCCUGGUGGGAAAUAAGGCAUCUACCCAGUAUGGAUAUACUGAAGUAGGGUAUCAGAAGCUGGGGUUCUGGGAGGCUUUUAACUUGCCUGAGGUCACCUGGUGGGUAAUAAUGGAAUAAAGCAUUCCUAUAACUCUGAAAGUUGCACUCUUGCCCUUAUGUCUUGUAGCUUCUCCAAAUGACUAGUAGAGACAAAAACGUCCAGAGGCAGGCGAGUUCUCUAAGCUAAGUGGUACCCAGGCUUCAUACA